GAAACUGUCAGUCGGUAGAGCAUGAGACUCUUAAUCUCGGGGUUGUGGGUUCAAGCCUCAUGUUAGGCA